ACUUUUGUUAAUUUCAUUUUGCCUAUCAGUUUGUACGAUUGUAGCUUAAUCCUCAUUGAAGAUUGAAGGUUUUUCUAAGUUUUGAAUUUCUCAUGUUUCAUCUAGGAAUGGUUAAAAGAAAAGUGAAAGGAAGAAGCUCUUUCACUAUGUUGGUUGUUUGCCAAAAGACGAAUUAUGCUUUGAAUAAUUCAUUCCACUAGCACCUAAGGAAUGAUUGGUUUUGCAGUAUUCAUUGAUUGGAUGACCAAAAAACCUCAGCUGCAAAUGAAGUUUAUAUAUUUUGAUGCCCAUAAGAAAAGAUUUUUAUAUUGAGAUGCAGUAUGGGUAUCGAGAAGUCAGAGUUGAUAAUUUUUUUCACACAACUCUCAUAUUUGGAUUGUUUGUUUUCAAUAUCUCUUAUUCAAAUGGAUGUGCAUUUGCAUAACAAAAUGGACAUAUCAGUAGCAACUUGGUAUAAAAUGCUUGAUCUAUGUGUUUUUCUUUUGGCCCAAGGGCUAUGUUGAAAUAUUUGGAGAUGAUUUUUUAUUUUUCAUA